rnacentral:rRNA from 1 species
CCUACGGGAGGCAGCAGUGGGGAAUAUUGCACAAUGGGGGAAACCCUGAUGCAGCGACGCCGCGUGAGUGAAGAAGUAUUUCGGUAUGUAAAGCUCUAGCAGCAGGGAAGAAGAAAGACGGUACCUGACUAAGAAGCCCCGGCGAACUACGUGCCAGCAGCCGCGGUAAUACGUUGGGGGCAAGCGUUAUCCGGAUUUACUGGGUGUAAAGGGAGCGUAGACGGCUGUGCAAGUCUGAAGUGAAAGGCCAGGGCUCAACCCUGGGACUGCUUAGGAAACUGUGGAGCUAGAGUGCUGGAGAGGUAAGUGGAAUUCCUAGUGUAGCGGUGAAAUGCGUAGAUAUUAGGAGGAACACCAGUGGCGAAGGCGGCUUACUGGACAGUAACUGACGUUGAGGCUCGAAAGCGUGGGGAGCAAACAGGAUUAGAUACCCCUGUAGUC